rfam:Myotis brandtii contig166507, whole genome shotgun sequence.
AUAUAUAUAGUAUAUAUAGCCAAUUGGAAUGAUUCAGAGAGGAUUAGCAAUGCCUAUGUGCAAAAUGGCAGGCAAAUGUGCAAAACGUUCCACAUUUUU